GACGAACGCUGGCGGCGUGCUUAACACAUGCAAGUCGAACGAUGAAGCCGGAGCUUGCUCUGGUGAAUUAGUGGCGAACGGGUGAGUAACACGUGAGUAACCUGCCCUUGACUCUGGGAUAACUGCUAGAAAUGGUAGCUAAUACCGGAUACGACCCUCGGAGGCAUCUCCAGGGGGUGGAAAGAAUUUCGGUCAAGGAUGGACUCGCGGCCUAUCAGCUAGUUGGUGAGGUAACGGCUCACCAAGUCGACGACGGGUAGCCGGCCUGAGAGGGUGACCGGCCACACCGGGACUGAGACACGGCCCAGACUCCGACGGGAGGCAGCAGUGGGGAAUAUUGCACAAUGGGCGCAAGCCUGAUGCAGCAACGCCGCGUGAGGGAUGACGGCCUUCGGGUUGUAAACCUCUUUUAGUAGGGAAGAAGCGAAAGUGACGGUACCUGCAGAAAAAGCACCGGCUAACUACGUGCCAGCAGCCGCAGUAA
rnacentral:rRNA from 1 species